rnacentral:lncRNA from 1 species
AAUCUUAAAAUAAUUGAAAGAAAUCCACAAUAAACCUUAAAAGAAUCCUUAAGAAGUCCUAAAAAAUAUUAGAAUAAUUACAAAUAUAUCUUAAAUAAAUCUCAACCAAGUUCUAAUUUAAUCUUAGAUAAAAUCUUAAUAAAUUUAAAUCAAACCCUAAAAAAAUCCUAAAUCAAAUCCUAAAUCCUAAAUCAAAACCUAGACAAAUCCUAAACCCUAAACCAAAUCCUAACCAAUUCAAUCUAAUCUUAGUACUAUUUAGAAUUUCAAUAUCUAUCAAUCAAAUCAUUGAUUUUUUCUAAAAAUUUUUAUACUUCUCAAAAACUAAGUUGGUAAUAAGCAUAAAAAAUUUGAAGAUAAUUGCACUUAUUAAAUGGAAGAAAAACCCUAAAAUCCGCUCAAGUAUUGGCCAGCCUCCUACUCCAAU